AUUUCUAAUAAUUUGUCUAAAUAUAUUGACUCCUUCCUUCAACCAGUGGUAAUGAAAACUAAAUCCUUUCUGGAGGACACAACGGAUGUCCUGAGGAUGUUAAAGGAUCUGACAUUGAAGGAGGGAUACUAUUUGGUAACCUUUGAUGUCACCUCCCUGUAUACAUGUAUACCUAAUGACAAGGGCUGUAUGGCUGUCAGAUACCUUUUAGAAAAAGAUCAAACAUUAAACUAAAGCUAAAGUAAAGCCUUUAUUGUUGGGAAGGACACUGUGGUGGUAGUAGGGAGAAAGCAAGGGGUAACCCCUAAUAGAUUAUCAAUAUUGGGUAAAAAAAAUGAUAGAAAACAAAGUAAAAUAAAAAACAAAAAUAAGCACUACCAGCAGGUGUCACCAGAGAGAUAGAUAGAUAGUAGUAUAUUGAGUCAAACUAUUGAAUGUGAUUGUUAAAACUUGACUUUUAAUGUUGCAAUUUAAAAGUGAAAAAGAUGUGUAGAGAAAUAAAGCAAAUUGAAGACAAACAAACGGAGAUAGAGCCAAUUGGUAGGUACACUGAGAGGAGAGGGGGUAACCACAAAAGUAAAUGUAAGAAAGCAAGGAUAGUGUACCUGGGUAGUCUGGGUAGUCGACUAAGAAUCACAAAUAGAUAUCUAGAUUAAUAGCAGAAUUGUUGCCAGACAGAGAAC